rnacentral:tRNA from 1 species
GCCUGGGUGGCUCAGCGGUUGAGCGUCUGCCUGCGGCUCAGAACGUGACCCUGGGGACCCGGGAUCAAGUCCCGCAUUGGGCU